rnacentral:rRNA from 1 species
UACAGAGGCCCCAAGCGUUAUCCGGAAUCACUGGGCGUAAAGGGUGUGUAGGCGGCAAUGUUAGUCCUUCGUUAAAGCUUUUUGGCUUAACCAAGAAAAUGCGGAGGAAACGGCAUAGCUUAGAGGUCGCGAGAGGUAUAUGGAACUCAUAGUGUAGGGGUGAAAUCCGUUGAUAUUAUGGGGAACACCAAAUGCGAAGGCAAUAUACUGGCGCGUACCUGACGCUGAAACACGAAAGCGUGGGAAUCGAACGGG